UGAAUUGUUUAUUUUAUUUUGUGUGAAAAUUUAAAAAAAUUAUAAUGAUUAGAUGAGAUGAAUUGAGUUGAAAAGUUUUAUGACUAGUACUCAACAAACAGAAAUCUCCAUUGUCAAUAUAAUAGCUUAGAAUUGAGGACUAAACCCACAUGCACGUUCUUUAAUAAUCCCCUACCAUGCUAUUUACUCAUAAAACAUAUCAAUUUAUUCAGCCAAACUUCCACAACCUGAGAGACGGAUUCAUCAAUCAUUCAAACUAGUUUUCACACUUUGGCAAUAAUAUGUCCAAACCAGAUUUUCAAGACUAUGCUUUUACACAAAUCAAAUCCACAAGCAUUCCUAUCAAACGCUAGAAUCUAUUCAGACCAGAGCAUAAACGUGGGGCUAGUAUGUAUUCCCAUUGCUCGUUAAUAGCUCACGUUGAAACGGACGGUGAUGUUGGAACAGCACGGUGGUGCGGCUGUCUUUGGGCGUUGUACUGGAGUAGAGAAAUUGGCCACCAUCAGUAACGGGAAGUGUUGGGAAUAAAUAGAGAGAGAGAGAGAUUGGAACCCAGAUAUAUAGACAGGGCAGAGGGAAAGUAGCGCGUCUUACUGAAAUGGGAAACCGAGCAGAGAGGAGGGAAGAGAGAGCUUGCGGUGCGACGUGUGACUGGGUUCGGCACGGCAGAAUGGCACAAGGUCACGAUGGUCGAGUGUGGUUGCGGCAUAAGAGAGAAAAUAGAGUGCGAGAGAGAG